GACGAACGCUGGCGGCGUGCCUAAUACAUGCAAGUCGAGCGAACCAAUAAGAAGCUUGCUUUUUGUUGGUUAGCGGCGGACGGGUGAGUAACACGUGGGUAAYCUGCCUGUAAGAYCGGGAUAACUCCGGGAAACCGGUGCUAAUACCGGAUAGAUUAUCUUUCCRCCUGGAGAGAUAAGGAAAGAUGGCUWUUGCCAUCACUUACAGAUGGGCCCGCGGCGCAUUAGCUAGUUGGUGAGGUAACGGCUCACCAAGGCGACGAUGCGUAGCCGACCUGAGAGGGUGAUCGGCCACACUGGGACUGAGACACGGCCCAGACUCCUACGGGAGGCAGCAGUAGGGAAUCUUCCGCAAUGGACGAAAGUCUGACGGAGCAACGCCGCGUGAGCGAAGAAGGUCUUCGGAUCGUAAAGCUCUGUUGUUAGGGAAGAACAAGUAUCGGAGGAAA
rnacentral:rRNA from 1 species